rnacentral:rRNA from 1 species
UGGAUGCUCGCGACGCUGGCGGCGUGGAUUCGACAUGCAAGUCGAGCGAUGAUCCAACGAUCGCAAUAUUGGAGGGGAUUAGCGGCGAACGGGUGAGUAACACGUAGGAAUCUGCCCUGAAGUUCGGAAUAGCCCGGUGAGAGCCGGGAUAAUACCGGAUGUGAUCUUCGGAUUAAAGGCUUCGGCCGCUUCAGGAUGAGCCUGCGCUCCAUCAGCUUGUUGGUAGGGUAAAAGCCUACCAAGGCGAGGACGGAUAGCUGGUCUGAGAGGACGGCCAGCCACAAUGGAACUGAGACACGGUCCAUACACCUACGGGUGGCAGCAGUCGAGAAUCAUUCACAAUGGGCGAAAGCCUGAUGGUGCGACGCCGCGUGGGGGAUGAAGGCCUUCGGGUCGUAAACCCCUGUCGGUUGCGAGUAAGGCUCUACUUACGUAGGGAUUGAUAUUAGCAACAAAGGAAGGGGCGGCUAACUCCGUGCCAGCAGCCGCGGUAAUACGGAGGCCCCAAGCGUUGUUCGGAUUUACUGGGCGUAAAGCGUGCGUAGGCGGCGAGGUAAGUUUGGCGUGAAAGCCCCGGGCCCAACCCGGGAAAUGCGCUGAAAACUACUUCACUAGAGGUGUGGGAGGGGGAGUCUGGAAUUCCUGGUGUAGCAGUGAAAUGCGUAGAUAUCAGGAGGAACAUCAGUGGCGAAGGCGAGACUCUGGAAACAUUCUGACGCUGAGGUACGAAGGCUAGGGUAGCGAAGAGGAUUAGAUACCCUCGUAGUCCUAGCAGUAAACGGUGUGCACU